rnacentral:rRNA from 1 species
AACCCAAAGGACUUGACGGUGUCCUACCCCCUACUAGAGGAGCCUGUUCUAUAAUCGAUAAUCCACGUUAUACCUAACCACCCCUUGCCUAUCAGCCUGUAUACCUCCGUCGCAAGCUUACCAUAUGAACGCAUAACAGUAGGCUCAAGGACUUAACGCCAUAACGUCAGGUCAAGGUGCAGCUCAUGGGAUGGAAAGUAAUGGGCUACAAUCUCUAAAUUAGAACAAACGAAAAACUACAUGAAACAUAGACAUGAAGGUGGAUUUAGUAGUAAGUAAGGAAUAGAGAGCCUUAUUAAACUUGGCCCUGGGACGUGUACAAACCGCCCGUCACCCUCUUCAAUAG